rnacentral:siRNA from 1 species
UGAUUGAUAACGGCAUGUCUA